UGCUUUUUGAGAAAGUUCUUCGUCUUUUAUGUUACAGUCAUAUAAAAAACGUAGUGCAAAUUCCAUGAAAAGUGGC
rnacentral:tRNA from 1 species